rnacentral:tRNA from 1 species
UGGAUAGCUCAGUUGGUUAGAGUGUGGUGCUGAUGAUGCCAAGGUUCAAGUUCAAUUCCCUUAUGGGACAG